rnacentral:rRNA from 1 species
AUGAAGUUCAACCUUCUCGCCAUGCCCAUUGCCCCCCACACCAUUCUGCGCCCCUUUUGCAUCAACCCCAUUGUCCGCCGUCUUGGACGGCAUGCAUGGUUCGGCUCCCACGCGAGCUCCGCCGAGGCAGUCAACUGGGAGAAGAUGCAGGAGAGCAGCAACAGGAGGGAUAAGAAGGCCGCGGAGGAAACCGGAUUGAAGGCUCUGUAUGAUGAUGGGUUCGGGAGCGUCACCAUGAAGGAUUACCUAGAGGCGGUUAGGAACAUGCCCAAGGACGACGGUGGGCCACCACGAUGGUUCUGCCCCGUUGAGUGCGGCUGGCCGGUGGUUGAUAAUCCACCUCUGCUGCUGUUCUUGCCAGGAACCGAUGGUGUUGGAAUGGAACUCAUUUUGCACCACAAAUCUUUGGGCAUGGUAUUUGAGGUGCGCUGCUUACACAUACCAGUACACGAUCGUACACCAUUUGGAGGGCUACUACAAAAUGUGGAAGAAUGCAUCAAAUAUGAGCAAGCUUUGUCACCAAACAGACCAAUAUUUGUAAUUGGAGAUUCUCUCGGUGGGUGCUUGGCAAUUUCGGUCGCAGCUCGCAGUCCAAACAAUGAUUUGGUUCUUGUACUAAUAAAUCCAGCAAUGUCAUGUGCCAAAACUACCGUACAAGCAAAGUUGCCUCUUUUGGAACUAAUAUCAAGCAACCUUUCAGUUAUACGUCCACACCUUCUAAGAUGUUUGAUUGGUGCCUGCAAUCGAAUCAGAUGCAAUGGAAUAUAG